rnacentral:misc_RNA from 1 species
CGCAGCCGCGGUAAUUCCAGCUCCAAUAGCGUAUAUUAAAGUUGUUGCAGUUAAAAGCUCGUAGUUGAAUUUCGGGGUCAGUAGGUUGGUCGUGCCACCGGUACGUACUGGUCUCACUGAUUCCUCCUUCCUGAAGAACCGUAAUGCCAUUAAUUUGGUGUUGCGGGGAAACAGGACUGUUACUUUGAAAAAUUGAGUGUUUAAAGCAGGCUAACGCUUGAAUACAUUAGCAUGGAAUAAUGAAAUAGGACGAUCGAUCCUAUUUUGUUGGUUUCUAGGAUUGACGUAAUGAUUAAUAGGGAUAGUUGGGGGCAUUAGUAUUCAAUUGUCAGAGGUGAAAUUCUUGGAUUUAUUGAAGACUAACUACUGCGAAAGCAUUUGCCAAGGAUGUUUUCAUUAAUCAAGAACGAAAGUUAGGGAUCGAAGACGAUCAGAUACCGUCGUAGUCUUAACCAUAAACUAUGCCGACUAGGGAUCGGAUGAUGUUAAUUUUAUAAUGACUCAUUUCGGCGCCUUACGA